AAUACUUUAUUUGCACCAGAUUACAAAAAUCUUUCAGGACUUCAAAGAACAUAAAAAGCACAAGACAUUCAACAUAAAACUAAACCAUAAAAUCCUGAAAUCCACGAUUCUGAAAAGCUUCUCGACACACCGAACCUGUUUCUAACUAUAAUCAAAACAUCUUUAAGAUUAAAAAACAGCAAAUGUUAUGCUUGAAAACAGUUUUUUGUGAGUAACGUCGUGUCUUCGGGGAUGAGUUCAGUCGGAGGACAGGAGUAGCAUCACUGAAGGGAACUGCCUUCUGUCCUGUUUUUUCUCGCUCCAUUAAAUCUCUGAGUAAGCAAAACAACAGAAAAAAUGAUACACAGACUCCACACUGGCUGCACCUUUAAAACAUAUUCUUCAUCAAGUUCUAUGCAAGACGUUUCUCUACACUUUCUGUUAAAUCCAUUUAGUCCAACUGAUGCAUGCUAUUUCCAUUCCACAUUAUUUAUGGAUUUGGUGGAUUGUAACGUCUCUAUAUUUUACCAAAUCAUAACAGAUAUAAUCAUUACUGGGAAUCCACUGGGACGUCUCCGACCUCAGGACACCCUCCUGUUUCUACCCAAAAUCAACUUUCAGGUCCAUGAGAGACCCCCUAAACCGGGGAGCUGACCACACAAGCAACUGUCAAGGAUCGAAGGCAGAGCAGAAUGGAUUCAUACCAGCAGACUAAAGGCACAGAUCCACCUUUUAACUGGUGUCACCUCUGCCAAAUCACCGACUGAUGCCGGUCCAACUAAGGGCACAGGACGGCUACCAACUGUCUACUCUCAUCCUAUGUGAUGGAAUCCAUACUACCAUGCGUCCUAAGUGCUGGUCACCUCUCCAUGAUGGUGGCCCUCUACUGUGUGCAAGACUUUUGCUUUGCCUUACUUGCUUGUCUAACCCUCAGCUAAGAUUAAGGAUGAUUUACAAUGUGGUGGGGACUGACUGACUUGAUUUGCUUAUAAUCAAUUAACCAAUGUCUUGAUAUAUAGUUCAAUAUUUACUCCUCCAGCUAAGGCUAUUGUUUUGUGAUCACAAUGUGAUCACGGGGGGAUUGAUGGAGAAUUGGCAAGGGAAGAAUUGUGGAAAACAUUUUGAACCUUGAGAUGCCACACUGCAAACUGUCCUCCCUUCUUUAUCUUAACUGUGGAGGGGAGGCCUCCACACAGCUGCACCUUCUUCCUGGAACACCAACACACGUAUGCAACCCCCCCCCCCCCCCAUACACACAAACACACAAACACACACACACACUUUGUGUCCUUGCUGUCUGUCUGUUCUGCCACAUGCCUUAUAUGUACCUAAGUUUCUUUUAACCAUGUAUCUGAUCAAAUAAAAGAAAGAAAGACAGUAUGUGAAUGUUAUUGCUGAGUUCCUUCCACAUCCUGUGUUUUUCUGAAACUUUGUGAUGUAUCUCUGACGCUGAUGUGAUUUUUUCCAGGCCUGUAUUAUAAUAAAUGACUGUUAACCUUCAA